AGUGAACGCUGGCGGUAGGCCUAACACAUGCAAGUCGAACGGCAGCACAGUAAGAGCUUGCUCUUACGGGUGGCGAGUGGCGGACGGGUGCGGAAUACAUCGGAAUCUACUUUUUCUUGCGGGCUAACGUAGGGACACAUACGCUAAUACCGCAUACGACGUACGGGUGAAAGCAUGGGAUCUUCGGACCUUGCGCGAGUGAAUGAGCCGAGGUCGGAUUAGCUAGUUGGCGGGGUAAAGGCCCACCAAGGCGACGAUCCGUAGCUGGUCUGAGAGGAUGAUCAGCCACACUGGAACUGAGACACGGUCCAGACUCCUACGGGAGGCAGCAGUGGGGAAUAUUGGACAAUGGGCGAAAGCCUGAUCCAGCCAUACCGCGUGUGUGAAGAAGGUCUUCGGGUUGUAAAGCCCUUUUGUUGGGAAAGAAAAGCAGCAGGUUAAUACCCCGCUGUUCUGACGGUACCAAAAGAAUAAGCACCGGCUAACUUCGUG
rnacentral:rRNA from 1 species